GCCGAGCCCAGCAAAUCCUCCGCAGAGCAGGGCGGCGCCGGGUGAGGCUCCGGGAAUCUGCGUGGGCUCCGAGCCAGGGCGCCCUGCCCUUGUUCAAGGUUGUUACCGCCCCUCCCCUUUGAGUGUUCUCGUCGCCUCCCGCUUAUCGAGGUUGAUAAACUGUGGAUCUCUGUGUGGGCCAUGGGAAUUUUAUACUUUAUACGUUUAAAAACCUACCGCGCCGCCCCUCCCCCGUCACCUCCUGGGAAUAAAUUCACACCCCUUUAGCGGACUGGAGCCUCCUUCGAGCACUCAUGGCUUAGGGGGACUGCAGAAUCGGAUUUAUGGCGAUUAAAACGCUCUUUUAAAAUA
rnacentral:lncRNA from 1 species